GCCUCACUUGGGACAUACACUAAAAUCUGGACGAUACAGAGAAGAUUAGCAUGGCCUCUGGGCAAGGAUGACACGCAGAUUCGUGAAAAGGUUGCUUCACUG
rnacentral:snRNA from 1 species